rnacentral:rRNA from 1 species
AUACGGAGGGUGCAAGCGUUAUCCGGAAUCAUUGGGUUUAAAGGGUCCGUAGGCGGACUAUUAAGUCAGAGGUGAAAUCCCACAGCUCAACUGUGGAACUGCCUUUGAUACUGGUAGUCUUGAGUUAUAUGGAAGUAGAUAGAAUGUGUAGUGUAGCGGUGAAAUGCAUAGAUAUUACACAGAAUACCGAUUGCGAAGGCAGUCUACUACGUAUAUACUGACGCUAAGGGACGAAAGCGUGGGGAGCGAACAGAAUUAGAAACCCUAGUAGUCC